rnacentral:rRNA from 1 species
CGGACGGGUGAGUAAUGUCUGGGAAACGGCCUGAUGGAGGGGGAUAACUACUGGAAACGGUAGCUAAUACCGCAUAACGUCGCAAGACCAAAGAGGGGGACCUUAGGGCCUCUUGCCAUCGGAUGUGCCCAGAUGGGAUUAGCUGGUAGGUGGGGUAAUGGCUCACCUAGGCGACGAUCCCUAGCUGGUCUGAGAGGAUGACCAGCCACACUGGAACUGAGACACGGUCCAG